CUUUUCCACACAAUACAAGAGAAGGGAACACUUUCCAGUUAAUUUUAUGAAGCUAGUAUUAUCCUGAUACCAAAAUCAGACAAAGAUAAUACCCUUCAAAAAAAAAGAAAGACCAGUAUCCCUCAUGAAUAAAAAGUUAAAAAUCCUUAACAAAAUAUUAAUAAAUAUAAUUCAGCAACAUACAAAAAUAACUACACAUCAUGACCAAGUGGGGUUUAUUCAGGGAAACAAGGACAAUUCAAUAUUCUAAAAUCAACAAACAUAAUUACCAUAUUAACAGGAUACAAAAAAAUGAUCAUAUCAAUUGAUUCAGAAAAAAAUAUGACAAAAUUUGACACCCAUUUAUGAUAAAAAAAAAACCUCCCAGCAAACUGUGAAUAAAGGGAAAUGUUUCAACAUUAAAGAACGUCUACCAAAAAAAACCCCUACAAUUUACAUUAUUUUUGAUGGUGACAAUGGCUGAAUGUUUUUUACCUAAUAUCAUUAAGGCAAAGAUGUUCACUCCCACAACUCUUAUUCAGCAUAAUGAUGUCAGUUCUAGCCAGCACUAUAAGGCAAGAAAAGUAAGUAAAAACUGUACAAAUCAAAAAAAAAAAGGAAAUAAAACUGUUCCUAUUUGCAGAUGAUGUAACUGACUACAGAAAAAAUCCCAAGGGGUUAACAACCACAACAAAAAAUCCUAGGACUAAUAAGUAAAUACAGUAGGAUCACAAGAUACAAGAUAAAUGCAAAAACAUAUAUUGCAUUUCUAUAUAUUAACAGUGGAAAUGUUGACAACAAUGUUUAAGGGAAAAGAGGACUAAUUUUAGGAAUAAAAAAUAUUUCAAAGCAUAUGAUUUCAGACUGAAAAUAAAUACACUAUGAGAAACUCAUGUUUUUUUGUGUGUAUAUGCUUUGGUAAUCACUGUGCUAAAGGGCACAUACACAGCCAAGUCUAAAACUUUCUGAAUUGUGUAACAGAAAGACUACUUUUGAAAAACAAAAUUCACAAAAUAUGACAGAUUCUGUAUAGUCUUCUAUACAAUAACUAACCUCUGAUGAGACAGGUGCAUUAGUUAAGCUUCUACCAGAGAAACAAAACCAGUGGGAGAUAUAUGUUACAGUAUUCAUUGCAAGGAAUUGGCAUAUGCCAUUCUGGAGACUUGCUAGGCAAAUCUAAAGUCCAUUAGGAUAGGCCAUCAGAAAGGGUAGGUUGGAACUCUCAGACACAAGUUGAAGUUACAGUCCACAGGCAAAAUUUUUUCAGCUAGACAACCUCAGUUCUACUCAUUUAGAUGAUUGAAUGAGGCCCACCCAAAUUAUCAUCUAGGAUAUUAUUCUUUACUUAAAGCCAACUGAUUAUGAAUGUUAAACAUAUUUAUAAAAUACUUUCACAGCAACACUUAGAUUAGUAUUAAAUCAAAUAAUUGGGGACAAUAUUCUACCCAAGUUGACACAUAGAAUUAGAACAGACUAUUACAAAAGGUAAGACUAUUGUGUGUUUUGAAGGGUAUACAUUAUGGCUCAGGGUAAGGAAUUUGAAAUCACAACCAAUGCUAAAAACUCAUUUCUCAUAGUUGGUGCAGUCAAUUUAUAAUCUGAAAGCUACAGAGCACCGCAAGAGAGAAUAGAGGAAUGUAAAGGACAUGGUCAAUGAGAAUGCUAAUGUGAUAUUGUUGAUGUAAAAGGGGCAACCUGGGACCUGGAUUUUUAAAGCAGAAAGUAGCUAUGAGAGAUAAUUUAUUUGGUCAGUACUCCUUGGAUGUGAUGAAUACAUCUCUACCAGUCCUUUCUCAAGGUCAACAUACCCUAGGGAGACAUUACAGUCUCACAAGUGACCAUGACUUACAAUCAGCACAAUGAGAUUAUGCAACAGAGAAUGAGGCUAAAGAGGUAGCCAGCAUCCAAAGUCUGCAUGGUUUUGGUUUCACAAUGGAGAAACUAAGCUUAAUUUUGUAAGUGAACAGGAAGUCAACGAGUGUUUUAAUCUAGGGAGAGAUAUGAUCAGAUGUUGUGGAAUACGAUGUUAGAGAAAAUCUUGCACUGAGUGCUUCAUCAACAAUAAUCACCACUUUCUUUUUUUUCUAGGUUUUUUUUUUUUUUUUUAUUCUACAGUCAAGAACACUCAUUAUUUUGGACAUUUCACAGAGGUGAAGAAGGUGCUGUUCUGGCUUAUGAGAAACACUAGGCCAGCGCGGUGGCUCACGCCUAUAAUCCCAGCACUUUGGGAGGCCGAGACCUGUACGACUAUGAAAGUUCUGAUCAGCUUCUCAGUCUCAUGCCUGCUACAUGUGAACUGACACAAGAUGUUUGCCAUGGCUCCUAAAAUCACGACAAAAGCAUGAAGGAAUCAUGACAUUGUCGCUCUCUUUUAAUCACAGAGGAAAAUCUUUUCAGAAAUCCUCCAGAAACUUUAUCUCAUGCCUUACCGGCCAGGUCUGAGUCAUAGAUCAGCUUGCUGAAGCUGAGUCUGGGACAGUAUCUGUGAAGUCCAGCCUCCAUAGUGGGAGAUGGGCUGUGUCAGUAAAAAAGAAGUAGGUAGCUCCCAGCACUUUGAGAGACUGAGGUGGGCGGAUCACUUGAGGACAGGAGUUUGAAAACAGCCUGGCCAACUUGGUGAAACCCCAUCUCUACUAAAAAUAUAAAAAUUAGCCAGGCCUGAUGGCACAUGCCUGUAAUCUCAGCUACUUGGGAGGCUAAGGCAAGAGAAUAGCUUGCACCUAGGAGAUGGAGGUUGCAGUGAGUCGAGAUCACGCCACUACACUCCAGCCUGGGUGACAGAGCGAGACUCCAUCUCAAGAAAGAAGAAGAAGAAGAAAGAAGGAGGAGGAGGAGGAGGAGGAAGGGGAAGGGGAAGAAGAAGAAGGUGGCUGCAAAGAAGAAGAAUGUCUGGUUUCAGGCAAAUACUAGUAUAUUCCCCAGCUACUAUUUUUUUUACAUGAUAAAGUCUAAACCUCUUA